AAAAUUAUAUGAAUUCAUUAUCUGGACAAAACCAAAGAAAUCUGCAAAACUAUUUGUCUAAAUUAUAUGUUUUAUGUAAUACUCUACUUAUUAUGAAGAGAAUUUAUCUAAAACUAUGCAUUGAAGUUUUAGGCCAGAGGCAAUAAACAGUGUCUUCUGCAAAGCUAUAGAAGUGAUACCAAAGUAGAAAAUGUUUAUAAUCCUUCACAAAUUUCAAAAGCAAUUUAAAAGACAACAUAAGUUAAUUGAACCUCUAGUGUCCAUUCAACAUAUAUCUACAGGAAGCAUUGAAAAAACUCGAAAAACAGGAAAUCUGAUAUUCAUUUGUUUUCUGGUACUAUGAAAUGCAUAAUGACAUAUAUCUAAGGAAUUACAAGUAUGUAUCCUGGAAACCUGUGAAUAGUGUUAUAGUGUUUCCAAAUCCUUGAAGAAUAGUUCAGCUGCUAGUGAACCAGAAAAUAAUAGAGAACCAGGUGAGUUAGUCAGAGAGGUAUCAUAUGGUAUUGAAAUAAUAGAAAUAAGACUAUCAGAUAAUGAUCAAUAAUGUCCUCUAACUCAUCUUACAUAAGGAUCUCUUUGGUAUACAUGAAUUUAUAUAUUGGCAGUUAAUACCACAAUAUCCACACAUGCAUACCCUCACCUACAAGUAACUGGAUGGAUUUAAAGUAUUUCUUCUCACACAUGUGCACCAGAAAAACAGUAUGCAUGUUUUUUUUUCCAUUUAUGUAUAUUGUGCAUUGGAAAGAUGUUUGGAUUUUUCUUUUGUUUUGUUUGAACUUUCUGUACAACUUUGAUAACGUAGGCUUGUCAAGUACAAGAAAAAAAAGAAAUAGUUAAACUUCAUCAGAAAAUGUUUCACGCCUAACAUGGACACCUAGGUGUGAUGGUUAAGUCACAUCCUUGAACUUUGGUACUUCAGGUUGGGGAAUUUAAACUAUUUUUGUUGGAAAAGUUACAGUCUUUCUGUUAUAGUACUUGAAACCUGAUGAAACCACAUGAGUGACAAAAAGAGGUCUAAGUGAGGCUAACCAAUUUUAAAAAUGGGGUGAGGAAGGAUGACUAAGAACACAAAACACCAUGAGUACCGUUCUAAGGAAAACUCAAUUUCACAGGAGAGAUUGAAAACCCAAAGCCAGUGCCCUGCAGGAUUACAUAGGAAAGCUUCCAAGUUUCUUCAUCACAUAUACAUAAAAGUUUUCCUCCAGAGAAAGAGGUAUUUGCCUAAAGUUUAUAGACAUCCCAAACUUAUAUGUAGGUUUUGUAACUAUUUACAUUAUAUUUUUUCCCACAAAGUUGGUCCUCUAUUAAGAGUAACAGUCAAGGAAACAUAAGAAAGCAAUUACUCAGAUACUCUCAAAAUGUAUGUUUUUGUCAAAUCAUGAAGCAACAACUUGCUAAAACCUGAAUCAUUUACUUUAAAAAUGCUGAUAAAGAAUUGCUCUAAAGGAGGAGAAUGUAUGUACCCUUGGUCUUCUAUAAAUAAUUUUCUUUCUUUUUUUUUUCCAUGCUUCUUCAGGUCAUUUUGUUUUCUAUUCGAUCAUAAUUCACUAGCAAAUACACCAAGUGGUUGAAUCCUACCUAGUAUUUUCAACAUUGUUAAAUAUGGCUUCUGAAGAGACUUAAUAUUUUCUAUGGAAACCCAGCUUCCAUUUCAAGCUACUAAAACUUGAUACUUAACGAAUACCACGAAGAUGCAUUGGACAUUGCACCACACUGGAGGAGCACAAUAUUCCAUUCAAAUAGUGAUUUUCCAUUGUGGAAGUUGCCUCUCAGCUCCAAUUUUGAGUUGAACACAUUAAAUACCUGGUAGGAAUACCAGUGAAAAGCA